GCUUUUUUGUUAUAUAGUUCCGGUUCUCGACACACUUAUUUGAACUGGGCUUUUAUUACAAUUACAGAUUAAGCCCACAUGGAAUUAGGGUUAGUCUUCCAUCAUCCUCUUGCUCCUGCGACCUACACGAUGAAAUCCCACAGAGAUGAAGAUCGCCGUUUUGAUCUCCGUAACAUCUCAACAAUCCAUAAAUAUUUUCUUUACUUUGAGUUUUUUGUGAUUGAUCCACUCCUCCCACUUCAAACACAGUGUCAAGCUCUCAAAUCGCAAAAACUAACAACUCUUCUCAACUCCUCCGGUGAAGUAACGCUCAGUUUUAAUGUUUUUCAGUAACCAAAACCCAUGAUCCCACUAUCGCCUCUUCAUUGCCUAUUUAAUUUCUUUUUCAUAACCUCUGGCGACCACAUAUAUUUACUCUCAGAGUGUGAUCUCUAAUUUCCUUACUGUAUGCCGAUUGAUUAUAGCUUAAACUCCUAGACAAGCUCUCGGCUUCAUUUGUCCGAGUUGAAUGCAGGACACUGUAGGGAGGUCGUUGAGGCUCCUUCGAUUUUGGAAGUCUCUGAAUGUCAAAGCAGGGUCGGCUGAUGGGUGUUGAUAUGUUGCUGCUUGAUUCCAAGUUGCUAGCAUUUUAAACAUAUUCCAACGGCUGUUGUUGGAAAAAUUAUGGGGAUUCGAACAGCUUACAGUGAAGAGAGUCAGAGUAUACAGCGCAGGAUGAUCACCCUAAUCAUUGGAGCUCUGAUGUAUGCAAGUAUUUGACGGCUUAGCUAAGCUCCUUGAAGAGAAUUUGCUGAGUAGGAACGAAGAACCCGAGGUUUUGGUUGCAACUAACAUCAACCCUAAAUUAGUAGGCGCGGCUAUUCCUGAAUAAGACAUCCACCACUCAUUUAUAUUUAGAUAAUGAGUGUGUUGCUGGUGCAAGUUAUCUUCAGAGGGUGUGUUGCAGUAAGGAAUGCUCAACCUCUAACCCGAAGAAGUAUGUGUUGUCAAGAAAAUUGAGCCAUUGACUUUGGCCAAAUUGCAGCGUGGAUUCACAUCAUUCACAUGUGUUUCAUGCAAUGAGGAGAACGUUGCUGGAGUUAUAAGAUGAGCGUCUCUGAUGCUACUGAAACUUCGAAUUUUGUUGCUUUGACACUGAAGUCACUAAACUGAACAAUAUACGUGAUGCCGAUGUCCCAACGAGCAGGGAGGUGGUGGACAAAACCCCAGGAUUGGGACCUUCUACUAGGUCUACAUGGAUGGUUACUCAGGAAAGAAGCCACAGACUGACUAACUUAGAAAGAAGUGGAGCUUUUUGGAAAAAAAAAAAAAAAAAGAAGAACGAAGAAAGAAGAAAGAAGAAAGAAGUGGAGCUUCGAUUACAAAAAAUAAUGACCUGUACGUUGCUUUUCUUUGAAAAUAAUAUUUCCAGGCACUGAAGUCUGAGUACUUCAAAACUUUGACAUAUUUUGAUUUUAUGUUUACUUUUUUCGUAAAUGCACCGUCUCAGACGUUUUGCAGUUGAAAAAUAAAAAGAAAAGUUGAUUCUCCACUA